UACAGAGGUCUCAAGCGUUGUUCGGAUUCAUUGGGCGUAAAGGGCGCGUAGGCGGCUAUUCAAGUGGCGGGGGAAAUCCCCAGGCUCAACCUGGGAACUGCAUCCGAUACUGGAUGGCUUGAAUCCGGGAGAGGGAUGCAGAAUUCCAGGUGUAGCGGUGAAAUGCGUAGAUAUCUGGAGGAAUACCGGUGGCGAAGGCGGCAUCCUGGACCGGCAUUGACGCUGAGGAGCGAAAGCUAGGGGAGCAAACGGG
rnacentral:rRNA from 1 species